GGGUUGUGAGGUUAAGCGACUAAGCGUACACGGUGGAUGCCCUGGCAGUCAGAGGCGAUGAAGGACGUGCUAAUCUGCGAUAAGCGCCGGUAAGGUGAUAUGAACCGUUAUAACCGGCGAUUUCCGAAUGGGGAAACCCAGUGUGAUUCGUCACACUAUCAUUAACUGAAUCCAUAGGUUAAUGAGGCGAACCGGGGGAACUGAAACAUCUAAGUACCCCGAGGAAAAGAAAUCAACCGAGAUUCCCCCAGUAGCGGCGAGCGAACGGGGAGGAGCCCAGAGCCUGAAUCAGCAUGUGUGUUAGUGGAAGCGUCUGGAAAGGCGCGCGAUACAGGGUGACAGCCCCGUACACAAAAGCGCAUGUGCUGUGAGCUCGAUGAGUAGGGCGGGACACGUGGUAUCCUGUCUGAAUAUGGGGGGACCAUCCUCCAAGGCUAAAUACUCCUGACUGACCGAUAGUGAACCAGUACCGUGAGGGAAAGGCGAAAAGAACCCCGGCGAGGGGAGUGAAAAAGAACCUGAAACCGUGUACGUACAAGCAGUGGGAGCACCCUUCGGGGUGUGACUGCGUACCUUUUGUAUAAUGGGUCAGCGACUUAUAUUCUGUAGCAAGGUUAACCGUAUAGGGGAGCCG
rnacentral:rRNA from 5 species